UAUAAUAUAAUAAUAUAAUAUAAUAUAAUAUAUAAUAUAAUAUAAUAAUAUAUUAUAUAACGUUAAUAUAUUAUAUGACAUUAAUAUAAUGUUAAUAUUAGUGUUAAUAUUAAUAUCAUAUAUUAAUGUUAAUAAUAUUCAUAUAUAGAAUAAAAUAUAAUAGAAUAAUAAAAUAAUAAGUGCUCUGGUUUCCAGCCAUAUAAACGGUGGCCAAGAAACCCCUCUUGUUGUCCCAUGGAUCAGGGAAUCCCCUUGCAGCUGGAGUUGUGCAGGAAAAGGGGAUUUGCCAGCCCUAGACCCACCACGGUGGUUUGGUGGUGAAGAGAACCGUGGUGACUCCCAGCUUCAGGAGUGCCAGGGAAAACUCAGGCACAUCCAAGUUUUCCAAUCCCUGCAUUUUCCCUUCAAUCAAGACCCAUAUUUUCACCUCGGGGUGGAGGGGGUGUGUCUCAAUUUUGAUUAUUCUCUGCUCAUUCCUUCAGAACGAGGAAGACAGAAAAUCUUGGAAGCAAAGAGGAAGGAAAAAAACCCCAGCCAAACCCCUGUAAUCAGCAGGAAAUUCAGGAGAGUUUCAGUUCUCAGAGAGCAGCAAAGAGGCAUCACCCUUAUUUUGUGGGGGAAUUUUGAGCUUGUCUUCUUGCAGCUCUGCUCUCAGGGCUGAGAAACCCUGGAUAACAUCAGAUAAUGCUCCCAGGGCCGCUUGCCAGGAAAACAGCGAUCCCAAAAGGUAACUCCGACCCGAUUAUUGGGUAUUCAUCUCCCCAAAGGCACAAUGUGAGCUCCGGCAGAUAACAUCGGGGUGAGGCACCGCAGAGGCUCCGUGCCUCGUUCACACCCUGCUGCACAGCUGAGCCCCGCCGUUUCCAUCCUUAACAGCCGGGAAAAAACUUAAACUGGACAAAACCCCCGUGCUCUGAGGAGUGAGAGGAGGGAGAGCUUGUAAAAUCACACAGCGACGUGCUCUGAGGGAAAAGAGUCGGAGGCAAAGCUGCUCAAAAAAAAAAAAAAAAUAGUAAUUUUAGAUGUCCUUUUCCCCUCAGCAAAAAGCUGAGCUGACACUUCCCAAUCGCAGGGGGAAUGGCAGCUGGGUUAUUCCCACCUCCUCCCAGUGCUCAGUGCUCCUGUCAGACUGGACAUCUCCUCUGAGAUGGCUUUCGGUGCAGAACAAACGAGUGACACAAACGGUGAUUUGGGGCAGGCUGCUGUGGGAUGCCCACGCAGAGUCCGGGGAGGAAUCUCGGCUGAGAUCUGCUCCGUGCUGACAGAAAGCUGAAGUUGGCCUGACCUCCUUUUCUGCAAGGAAAGAGCAAGAGGGGCACAAAUCAAACUGCUUUCCCCCCCCUCUCCCUCCUCUCUGACCCAGCCCAAAAUUAUUUGUCUCCAUUGCGAAUUCCUCAUCCAGCUCAGGCACGCUGGAAUGUUUUUCUCCACCCAGUUUUUUAGGGAAUGGGGGUCCAAUAACUCAGCCGUUCCCUGACCUCAUUACCCCGAGGGAAGGGAUAACCUUUGUUGGGAGCAGCUCCGUCCAGCCACGUGGGGACAGCUUUGCUACACCCCGGCUUGCUCCUGGGCGCCAGCGAGGCCCUCCGGGAAGGCACAGGGGGAAAACUUGGAACAUCUGGAGGAAUUUUCAGGAUGUGGCUGAUGCGGUAAGAGCAGAC
ensembl:lncRNA